rnacentral:rRNA from 1 species
UACGGAGGGUGCAAGCGUUAGUCGGAAUUACUGGGCGUAAAGGGUGCGUAGGCGGGGAUGUAAGUUAGAUGUGAAAUACCGUUGCUCAACAACGGCCGUGCAUCUAAAACUGCAUUUCUAGAGGGAUAGCGGAGAAAACGGAAUUCCACGUGUAGCGGUGAAAUGCGUAGAUAUGUGGAAGAACACCUGUGGCGAAAGCGGUUUUCUAGCUUGACCCUGACGCUGAGGCACGAAAGCAAGGGGAGCAAACAGG